rnacentral:misc_RNA from 1 species
AACGGUCUAUACCUGCGGUACCUGCGGAAGGAUCAUUACCGAGUGAGGGCCCUCUGGGUCCAACCUCCCACCCGUGUUUAUCGUACCUUGUUGCUUCGGCGGGCCCGCCGCAAGGCCGCCGGGGGGCUUCCGCCCCCGGGCCCGCGCCCGCCGAAGACACCUGUGAACGCUGUAUGAAGAUUGCAGUCUGAGCGAAAAGCUAAAUUUAUUAAAACUUUCAACAAUGGAUCUCUAGAUCGG